GACAGCAAAAUUGUCCUGUCCGUUCACUGUGCAGUGUAUGUGGUGUAUUCUGGUGGUGGUGCAUUAUCAGAUAAAUCUUAAGAUAAAAAGCAAACAAAAAAUCCCUGAAGUACUGCAAAACAAUAUCAAUGUGAAGUGAGGAAGUUCUAAAUGCAAUUUUGAAUAGGUUAAUUUCUCAAAAAAGAUGUUGCUGAUGGCAUGAUGCUUCUUUAAGCUAUUAGUGUAUGUGUCUGUGCUGUCCAAUAGAAGAAGUGACAGUAUUUAGCUAGUGCAUACUCAAGCAUUGUGGCUAGUGGCCGGGUUUUUACCUGCUUGCAUCAUUUGAAGUGGCAGCUUGUGUUGUCAGCUUGGCACUGAAUGACUUCAGUAUCUCUUUAACAGAUCUCAGUUGUGUUCUGUAACAGCAAGUAAGUACUCUGAUAAAGAGGAAUAUAAUUUACAUGAACAAACUGGGAAUAGAAUUUGCUUAAAUAUGGGACUUUUAAUUAGUAAAGCACCUCCUGAUUCUUGAAACACGCUAAUGAAACUAAUUUAUUGCGAUGUUAAUUUGUUGUUCUACUUAUAAAACUAUGUAGAGACAUUACUCAAUAUUUAUCUUUCAGUAGAACUGUGUUGCCAAGCACUGAUUAUUGUUGCAGUAAAAAUAUCUUAGAUAUCUAAAAUUUGAUUAGAAUGUUCAGAUAAUGCAGGAAGUUUCAUUGCAAAAAUGUACUGUUCUUUGGAAUUUUUGCUGAUGGUAGAAAUAAAAUAUUUGAAAUUGAGUGGGCCAUUCGUAACAAACAUACAGUUGUCUCACUCUUAUUCUUGGUUUCCGCAUUCUUCACUUUGUAACUGACAGUUUUGGGUUUAGUCUGUCAUAACCAAUGUGGCUUGACAUCAAGCUUUAAAAAGUCAUCAUGCCUGUUUUGAUCUAACUGAAAUGUGAAGAAGUAGGGCAGAAGUUGUUUGGUCAAAACAUAGGAGAAUUCAUACUUAAAUCUCUUUUGUUUCUGCAAGACUUAUAUUACCGUGUUACCUUGUCUUUUAUUUUGUGUUUUGGCACAUAUUGACCUUGAAGACAUGUAUUACAUGGUGUUCUACAAAUGUGUUAUAUUUUCCCUUCCCUCGUCUAUUGAGUUGAGAGGGUUUAUGAAUGUUGGAGGAAAACGACAAAGGGAAAAAUACAUUAAGAGGAGUAGAAACAGUGAUAGGACAAGAAUAAGCAGGGAGAGACAGGAUACUUAAUGUUAAAAGGCAGAUGGGUUGAUUAUAGUAAGGAAGUAAGGGGAUAUGCUGGUACUUGAGGCUUUACUAGAAGCAUUUGGCUUUAUAGAGCUAGUUUUAUCCAAACAAAUGAAGAUGAUGUUACAGGUGUAUGUUUUGAUUUUACAACUGAUCUGUUUAGGAUUUAACAGGCUAUUUGUGAAAUAAUUAUAACUUGGAUCUUGCUUUAAAGUAUGAGACACUAAAACCAUGGGUAGUCAUUGGAAAAGUAUGUCAAGUCUGUCAGCAUUUGUUGCAACUCUGCUACUCUUUUCCGUGUGGUAAAGGACUGUCCUGCAUCCUCCUAUUUUGUUCAGGUGUGAGGUUCACAAAAUGAUUUCUUUAUUACCAGUACUUAGUGGUUUUAAAUGGUCUGAAUAAAUGCUAAAAUCUGUUACUUGAGGUAGGAAAAGACAGUUAUCCAUGGAAGAUGAGUGCCUCCAUAAUGCAAGCUAUAGCGUAGUUUUCUUCUGUUGUGUGUGAAAGAUGUGGCAGGAGAGUUAAGGAAGCUCUGUUUUAACUUGGGUACAUAACUGACCAAAUCUUACUUAGCUGUGAGGAUUUUUCCAGCACACUUCUGUCAGUUAAGAGAGUGUGAAUGGAAAAACACUCCCUUGAAAUACCUACAGAAGGUGCCACCUAUGCUGGGAAGAAUAAUGUAUAUGUACUAGCAAGAAAUCUUAUUUGCUUUUCUCUCUUUUGAUCCCAAGGGGCAAUUUGCAGUACAGAGAUACCAUCAGAAGUAUUUUAGAAAGAAAAUCUCCUUAAUCUGAUUUAUGUUCAGAGCAAUGAUAUAGCCAGAUUUGUGUUCUUGUUCCCUGUGUUCCUCCCCUUUCCCCUGCCUGUGUUGUGGCAUUCUCUAUUUCAUGUUUGACAGAAUUGACAUCUUCCCAUCAAUGUUUUCUCAGCAUGCAAUUUUCUUUUGAUAACCCCUCUUGAGUUAAUAUAUACACAUUCCAGCCAAAGAGUUUUCAGUCCAUGAUGUCCUAAUUUCAGGAUAGUUAUCAUGGCAAUAGUAGCAGCAUUCGCAGUCUUCAGACAGUUGCUGUGAAUGGAGAUGUAGUCCAACCAACCAUCAGCACUCAAGAUACCUGCUGACUUCAACUUGGUUGCAUAGUUCCUAAUGAUUUUCAGGAGGCGUAUAGAAUUAUCGACGAGAUGUGCUUUACAUACAAAUGUAAUCCUUUACAUUUCAGAUCAAAAUUUAAACAAAGUGUAAAUUUGGAGUCAGAAUACAUGUUUGGAUAUUUUUAAAACUCUUUCUGUAGUUGUUAGUCUUUCAAUUGUUAAAAUUCAAAGGACUAGAAACUCUGGUUUUCUUAGUUCUUUAUUCCUCUCAGUUGCAUUUGUAUAGGUUGUAUUUCUUCUUCCAGCAGUUGGAAAUUUGAGAAAUUAAGAGAAAUUUGCCAGCAGUGCCCAAUGUAAAGAAGUUUUAUUCAGGUGACAGAAUCUGUUCAUGUGCAUGUGUGUGACUCCUGCCCACCUGUUUUCUUGUUCUUGUUCAUUCUUUCUUGCUCUUGCUUGCAUUUUCUCAAUCUUUCACUUUUAAGGCAGUACUGAGCCAGAAGUGUUUCAGUAUCAGUGUACAUACAACCGAAAGCAUCUUCUCCUGCAGAUUAUGGGUACUAGUGAAACUAUUACAGACACAUGUCCUUCUAAACUUACCCUAAUGAAACACCUCAGUGUUGUGUUGUUCCAGGACUUAAAACACCUCAAAGAAAAGGUCAUUUGUUUGCCUUGGUGUGAUGCUCAAUAAAACUGGUAUGUCAAACAGCAACUCCCUAAUACUAAAAAGGUUUAUGUAUUGUAUUUAUUGCCUCAUUAUUGAGUCUUGCCAUUAAACCUUCACUUUCAAAUAGUAUGACUCUUACACUGAUUACCAUCUCAAUAAAGACAGCGAGACUUGCUCUGCAAAGUUAAUUGCUAGGAAUUGUUCAACAGACCUCACAAAUGGGUAUUUGUUGAGUGUAUUCCAUCAAGCAGAUUUUUAUCAUGCUUCUUUGUAUUCAAAGUGACCUUUACAGUGCUUAUGAGGAGAAUAAUUUAGUGUAUACCAUAUUAGAAUUGAAUAUUCUUCAGUCACUGUUGGAAGUAUUUGAGGGCUUGUGAUCUUUUAUGGUUGCUUCAGAAUAAACCCUUGUUAGUGCUGCCUGAGAAAAUAAAAACGUUAAAGCAAAUUCUGGGAUUGUGUGCCUGAAAUUGCUGAAACAAGUGAGGGUGAGGCCGUGGUAUGGAGUUUCUUUUACACAUGUAGAAAUGUACAAGAAAUGCUCUCCAUGGUUGCAUGGUUUAAAAGAAUUGGGCAAAAAUCUAAAGUAGCUUGACAGUAACAGUCAAAACCCACUUUAUAUAUUGCUUUUGGUAGCUAAUUGGUAUAUAUCAGUUUCCUUUAUAAAUACCAACUUAUAAAGCUCUGAAACAAAUGGAGAUUAUGUUGAACAAAGCCAUGUUCAAGGUUACAGCAAACUUCAGUGUUGUACAGAAUGAGCUCUUAACUAAUGCAGCAGCAGCUGUUUGCUGCUGGUGUGAAUGGGAAUGGGGGACUGGUAACUGCACUGUGUUACCCCCGGAGGUGAGUUAUCCGGGCUCCAAGGUUAAAAGUCAGACGUGGUGAAGCAAGGCAGGAGUAUGCACUGAGUUUGCAACUGGCAUUAGUCAAAGAGACCCCACCUUGAGAACGGCAUCCAGCUCUGGAGUCCUCAGUACAGGAACGACAU